rnacentral:rRNA from 1 species
AGUAGGGAAUCUUCGGCAAUGGACGAAAGUCUGACCGAGCAACGCCGCGUGAGUGAAGAAGGUUUUCGGAUCGUAAAACUCUGUUGUUAGAGAAGAAUGUUGAUUAGAGUGGAAAAUUAAUCAAGUGACGGUAUCUAACCAGAAAGGGACGGCUAACUACGUGCCAGCAGCCGCGGUAAUACGUAGGUCCCGAGCGUUGUCCGGAUUUAUUGGGCGUAAAGCGAGCGCAGGUGGUUUAAUAAGUCUGAUGUAAAAGGCAGUGGCUCAACCAUUGUGUGCAUUGGAAACUGUUAGACUUGAGUGCAGUAGAGGAGAGUGGAAUUCCAUGUGUAGCGGUGAAAUGCGUAGAUAUAUGGAGGAACACCGGUGGCGAAAGCGGCUCUCUGGACUGUCACUGACACUGAGGCUCCGAAAGCGUGGGUAGCAAACAGGAUUAGAUACCCUGGUAGUCCACGCCGUAAACGAUGAGUGCUAGUUGUUUGGGGCUAUCC